rnacentral:rRNA from 1 species
CCCUAUUAUUAAAAUUUAAAUUGAAAAUACUAAAAUAGUAGAUAAUUAUUUAUUGAAACUUAAAUAAUUUGGCGGUAUUUUAGUUCAUUUAGAGGAAUCUGUUUAAUAAUUGAUAAUCCACGAAUAAAUUUACUUAAUUUUUUAUUUUGUAUAUCGUUGUUAAAAAAAUAUUUUUUAAUAAUAAUAAUAUUUAAAAAUUUUGAUUAAAAAUUAAAUCAGAUCAAGAUGCAGAUUAUAAUUAAGAAUAUAAUGGAUUACAAUAAAUUUAUUUAGA